rnacentral:rRNA from 1 species
GAUGAACGCUGGCGGCGUGCCUAAUACAUGCAAGUCGAGCGAACAGAUGAGGAGCUUGCUCCUCUGACGUUAGCGGCGGACGGGUGAGUAACACGUGGAUAACCUACCUAUAAGACUGGGAUAACUUCGGGAAACCGGAGCUAAUACCGGAUAAUAUAUUGAACCGCAUGGUUCAAUAGUGAAAGACGGUUUUGCUGUCACUUAUAGAUGGAUCCGCGCCGCAUUAGCUAGUUGGUAAGGUAACGGCUUACCAAGGCAACGAUGCGUAGCCGACCUGAGAGGGUGAUCGGCCACACUGGAACUGAGACACGGUCAAGACUCCUACGGGAGGCAGCAGUAGGGAAUCGGCCGCAAUGGGCGAAAGCCUGACGGAGCAACGCCGCGUGAGUGAUGAAGGUCUUCGGAUCGUAAAACUCUGUUAUUAGGGAAGAACAAAUGUGUAAGUAACUAUGCACGUCCUGACGGUACCUAAUCAGAAAGCCACGGCUAACUACGUG